UUGAAGAUUUUGAAAACUUCAAAUACAUCCGCCUUCCGCUUGAUUGGAUACACCCAACAUCUCCUGGAGUAGUCGUCUAUGAAGGAUACAAAAUACUUUGCACCUCCUAGGGAUAUAACUGGUGCUUGCCAAACAUCGGAGUGAACCAAUUUUAGA